rnacentral:rRNA from 1 species
AGUGGGGAAUAUUGGACAAUGGGCGCAAGCCUGAUCCAGCCAUGCCGCGUGAGUGAUGAAGGCCUUAGGGUUGUAAAGCUCUUUCACCGGAGAAGAUAAUGACGGUAUCCGGAGAAGAAGCCCCGGCUAACUUCGUGCCAGCAGCCGCGGUAAUACGAAGGGGGCUAGCGUUGUUCGGAAUUACUGGGCGUAAAGCGCACGUAGGCGGAUCGAUCAGUCAGGGGUGAAAUCCCAGAGCUCAACUCUGGAACUGCCUUUGAUACUGUCGAUCUGGAGUAUGGAAGAGGUGAGUGGAAUUCCGAGUGUAGAGGUGAAAUUCGUAGAUAUUCGGAGGAACACCAGUGGCGAAGGCGGCUCACUGGUCCAUUACUGACGCUGAGGUGCGAAAGCGUGGGGAGCAAA